GGCCGGGUAGCUCAGUUGGUAGAGCACACGACUGAAAAUCGUGGUGUCGGCGGUUCGAGCCCGCCCCCGGCCA
rnacentral:tRNA from 1 species